UACGGGGGGGGCAAGCGUUGUUCGGAAUUACUGGGCGUAAAGGGCUCGUAGGUGGCCAACUAAGUCAGACGUGAAAUCCCUCGGCUUAACCGGGGAACUGCGUCUGAUACUGGAUGGCUUGAGUUCGGGAGAGGGAUGCGGAAUUCCAGGUGUAGCGGUGAAAUGCGUAGAUAUCUGGAGGAACACCGGUGGCGAAGGCGACAUCCUGGACCAACACUGACGCUGAGUGAGCGAAAGCCAGGGGAGCAAACGGG
rnacentral:rRNA from 1 species